rnacentral:lncRNA from 1 species
UGUAACAUCCCUGGGCCGGGUUGGCCAUAAAAAGUACCGAGUGACCGAAUGAUUUGUGACUAGUAUUACAUGAGAUCUUUCCACUAAGAUGUCAUAUUCCUCAUAUCAUGCAGUAUUUAUCUAUUUCACUUGUACUGAGUUUAACUGUUAAGCUGGAAAGCAUGCAUAUAUUUCUGUACCAUUAUUUAUAUUGGACUGUACCUGCGGAGCUCAUCAUUACUUUCAGCCCAGAGGUUAGUCUUAUUACUUAUUGAGUUGGUUGUAUCCAUACUACAUUCUGUACCUCAUGUGUAUAUCCAGGUACUUUCGGACACGGAGACUAUUAGAUUUCAGAGUACUAUCAAUUAGAGACUAUGAAGGUAGCUGCUUGGCAUCCGCUGACCUUGUCUCUCUUUCUUUCAGUUAUUGUAUUGUUCUAUACUUUCAGAUAGUGAUUUUUAUCAGUCAGACAUUGUAUUCAUAUUAGAUGCCCGUGUACUCAGUGACACCGGAUUUUAGGGGUGUUAUAUUUGUAAUUGUGAGAUUUCUUCCGCUGAAUUUAAUUAUUAUAUUUUUAAAUUUUAAAAAAUAUGGUGAUUUAUUGAGAUUGUCGGCUUGCCUAGUAUUAAGAAAGGCGCCAUCACGACAGGUGAGAUUUUGGGUCGUGACAAGUUGGUAUCAGAGCUCUAGGUUACAUAGGUCUCACGAGUCAUGAGCAGGUUUAGUAGAGUCUUGCGGAUCGGUACAGAGAUGUCUGUACUUAUCUUCGAGAGGUUGCCGACCCCUUAAGAAAAUUUCACUUCCUUGUAUUCUAUCGUGGGAAAUUGAUUCAGCUUGAAACAUAACUCUUUGAAUUUCUUCCACGCAUUCGUGUGCGCAUGUGAGCGCUCGGUAUCAGUUGUGCACCACCGACUUGUGAUUCCAUGAACGAGGUUCGUGAUAUGUAUUCUGUGUUUUGGUGAUGGGCUAGCCUGGAGGACUUGAGUCCAGGGUUAGAUCGCAACUUAAGCUCGGUAACUUCAGUUGUGUGAACUUGUGCAUUUGGACUCAUAUGUCUAGAAGUGUCCCUAUGAAUGAAAUUUAUGGCUCGAUGAGCGGUUGAAUGGAUAUAUAAUAAGUAUGAUGUGAUUGCGGGAUGUGUUCAGAUGGGUUGAAUGUGAUGAAUAAAGUUUACUUGUCACUCAAGAGUUUGCUAUUGGGUACUUGAUUUAUGUCUUGAUUUGACGUAUAGUCUCGAGUUGUGAGUGUAUUGAAGCAUCUUUCACGUUGUUAAAUUGUGGGAUAAAUUAAAUUCUCAUAUCUUAUUAACGAGUUUGGACUCAGGAUGAUUAAGUGAUUGCGUAGUAAUUGUGGCUGCAAAAAGGGUAUAGCAUGAUGCCAAUUUGAGGCUAUGCAGGUGGGUUGUCUCCUGCGAAGUAAUCUACAUAGGUGUGUUCCUUAUAAUGUUGAGUGGAGAGCUUCUUUUCUAACAGCGGGGUGUAUGUGUUGAGAUUUAAAUUUGAAUCUGGUCGAGAAAGUUGACUUGAGUGUCAAGAGAAUGAAUGCGAUCUUAGUGGAUGAUUGAGGUAUCUUAUGGUUGGUGUUGCAUAAGCCUGAGAAAAUUUUUCGUUGAACUGACUGCGGUAUUAUAGCAGUGAUAGAGUAUGGAUAUUGUGAGUUAUGGAAUGUUUUGUUCUAUGGCUUUGAGCCAUGUGGGGGAGUGUGCUAUCACCGAUUUGAUUGCACAGUUAUGUGUUGUAUUGGUUUUGGUCUGAGGCAUGCUUGUGGAUUAGUUAUGACUUGCAGAGGUUGAGAUCGAGGAUGUGUCUACUAAGGAAAUUCCCGGAUACGGAUGUAACGACCUGGCCGGUCGUUUUGAGUAUUAUAACCUCGUUCCCCAAUUUACUGCUCAAUUUAUGCCUUACAAUUGAUUUAUGACUUAUCGGGUUAGUUGGUUCAGGUCCAGAAGGAUUUCGGAGUGAAAUGAGACACUUAGUUUUAUAAUUAAAAACUUAAGUUGGAAAAGUUGACCGGAUAUUGACUUAUGUGUAAACGACCUCGGAAUUUAAUUCUGAUGAUUUCAAUAGCUCUGUAUGGUGAUUUUGGACUUAGGAGCGUGUCCGAAAAAUUAUUUGGAGGUCCGUAGUAGAAUUAGACUUCAAAUGCCGAAAGUUAAAUUUUUGGGAAGUUUGACCGAGGGGUUGACUUUUUAAUAUCGAGGUCGGAAUCCAAUUCUAGAAAUUGGAAUAGAUUUGUUAUGUCAUUUAUGACUUGUGUGCAAAAUUUGAAGUCAUUACGGAUUUAUUUGAUGUGUUUCGGCACAAGAUAUAGAAUUUGAAAGUUUAAAGUUCAUUAGGCUUGAAUUGAGGUGCGAUCCGUGGCUUUAGCAUUGUUUGAUGUGAUUCGAGGCUUCGACUAAGUUCGUAUGAUAUUUUAGGACUUGUUGGUAUAUUUGGUUGAGGUCCCGAGGGGCUCGGGUGAGUUUUGGGGUGGUUUCGGACCAUUCCUAGGCCAUUUUUAAUAGCUAGUUUCUGCCUACAGAGGUGUGCAACGCGAUAGCGAACAUUUGAUCACGUUUGCGAUGAGCAAACAACAGUUUGGGGCCUUGUGAAUCGCGAUCGCAGAAGCUCUUUCGCGAUCGCGUAGAACAAAUAUCUGCUGUACUGAUCCGACUUGGGAAGCUUACAUCUCGCAAUCUAUAAGGAAUUUGGAGAUGAUCCAAAAUUGAAUGUUUUAGCCCUUGACGUCUAGUUUUCAGAAAGUUAAACCAUUUGUGAUUUGAAGUUGUGUACCAAAAGUUAUUGUGGAUACACUAUAGGCUGUCUGGAAAGAGUUUGAAAAUAUCUGUUGCAUAGGGCUGACUUUGGAAGCUUAUAUCUAGAAAUCUAUAAGUAAUUGGGAGAUGAGAAACAAAUAAAAGUUAUAGACCUUGGUCUCUAGUUUUCAUAAAGUUAAACCAUUUGUAAUUUGGAGUUUUGUACAAAACGUUAUGAUCAUUAUACUAGAGACUGUCUGGAAGAGUUGGGGGAGUUUGUUCUUCGCGAUCGCGAUUGGUUUUUCGCAAUCGCGAAGAGCAAUUUUGGGGCUGAAAACUUUUGUGCUUCGCUGUUGCGAAGAGUAAAUGUCAGGACAGAAGAUAUAUUUUGAGGUUUCGGCCAUUUUAACACAUUAGGGGCUAUGGAGCUCGGAUUGAAGCGAUUUUUACCAUAUGGAUUGGGGUAUGUGUUCUAUAUCCGAAAGUGAUUAUACUUCAUGAUUCUAUGGUUAUAUUCAUCAUUUAUUUCGGAUUUAAAUAGAAGAAAAUCAAUAUUUUUGCAAAUUCUUUCAAAAACGAAAAUUUAAGAUUUGGAGGUCGAGUUGUUAUCGAAAUUUGAUAAAAUUAGUAUGGUUGAACUCGUAUCGGAAUGGGUGUUCGGAUUUUUUAACUUUUGUCGGGUUCUAAGACGUGGGCCCCACAUGCGAUUUUUGAGCUAAAUUUCGGAUUUUUAUGGAAAAUUAGUUUUUUCUUAUGGAAUUAAUUGCAAUAAAUUUUAUUAACUGAAUCGAAUUAAUUAUGGCUAGAUUCGAGGCAUUUGGAGGCCAAUUCACAAGGCAAAGGAAUAGCGGAGUAAAUAAUUACAUGGUUUAAGGUAAGUAACACUUCUAAACUUGGUUCUGAGGGUAUGAAUCCCCGAAUUUGGUAUUAUAUGAAUUGUUUGGAGGUGACACACACGAUAGGUGACGAACAUGUAGACGUGCACCACAGAAAUUGUGUCUUGAAUAAAUCUUGUGAAGUAGUAAAAUUAAAUAAUCAUGUUAUUAUCUGAACAUGUGGCACGUGUUAGAGGAAUUAAGCUGAGGCUAGUAAUAAAGAUCAUGUUUAGGCUAUGUACCGAUAUUUUAGGACCCAUGGGGUCGUGAUGCUGUUGAAUUAAUUGUUCUAAAAUAUAUAUUUCACACUCAGUAAUAAUUGUCCAUUGUGAGGAUAUUUAUGGGAUUGAGCUGCGCAACGCAGCAGGUCAUUUGGCUUUAUAUAUGUUAUUAUUAAAAGGAUUGGGGUUGCCCGCCUGCAGUAGGCUAGAAUGGCUUUAUACAUUAUUAUUGUUCUGGAUCGGGGCUUCCCGCCAGCAGCAGGACUUAUUGGCUUUACUAUUUUAUGGAUCGGGGUUGCCCGCCUGCAGCAGGCCUUAUUGGCUUUAUUAUUAAAUUGAUCGGGGCUGCCCGCCUGCAGAAUACCUCAUUGGAUUUAUUAUUAUAUGGAUCCGGACUGCCUGCCUGCAGUAGACCAUAUUGGCUUUAUAUCAUGCUUGGGCUGAAGGAGCCCCUCCGAGAGUCUGCACACAACCCCAGUGAGCGCGAUCGACUUAUAGCGCUUAGGCUGAAAGAGCCCCUCCGGAGUUUGUACACCCCCAGUGAGGGUAGAUGAUUAUAUAUAUUCGGGAUGGAUUUCCCAAGGCAUGGACUUGCCUUACUUACUGCUUAUAUAUAUGUUUGGGAUGGAUUUUUCCAAGGGCAUGGACUUUCCUUACUUAUUAUAUUGUAAUGAAUUUACCUGGACAUGGAUCUUGUCCGUAUCAUUUACAUUUGGGGAUAAAUUACCCCAGGACUGGAUUGGCCUUAUACGGUACUGAAUGACUGACUGUCGGUCGAUGUGUAUAUAUAUACGGGUUGGAACACCCCGGAGCUGGACUGGCCAUAAACUGUACCAAGUGACCGAAUAAUUGGUGACAAGUAUCUAUAGGAGGUCUUGCUAAUGAGAUGUCAUAUUCCUUAUAUCAUGCAGUUUGAUCUAUUUCACUUGUACUGAGUUUAUGUGUUGAACUUGAAAGCAUGGCUAUAUUUCUGUACCAUUAUUUUUACUGGACUGUACCUGCGGAGCUCAUCAUUUCUUUCAGCCCAGACGUUAGUCUUCUUACUUAUUGAGUUAGUUGUACUCAUACUACACUCUGCACCUCGUGUGCAGAUCCAGGUGCAUUCGGAUACGGAGAUAGUUAGAUUUCAGAGUACUAUCAAUUGGAGACUAUCAAGGUAGCUGCGUGGCGUUCGCUGACCUUGUCUCUCUUUCCUUCAGUUAUUGUAUUGUUCUAUAAUUUCAGGCAGUGAUUUUUAUCAGUCAAACAUUAUAUUCACAUUAGAUUCUCAUGUACUCAGUUACACUAG